GUUUUUGUAGUUGAUUGACAACGGUGGUUUUUCAGGCCGCAGGUCUCGAUGAGUCGGGCAAAAAUU